GCCAAAUAGCUAGCUUAGCCAUCAAUAUAACUUAACAAUGUUCAUAACAAAACAUAAGAUUAAUACCAAAACUAAACCAUUUUUUUACCUAAGUAUGGGAGACAGAAAAG
rnacentral:rRNA from 1 species